rnacentral:rRNA from 1 species
GACGUAGGGGGCCAGCGUUGUUCGGAAUUACUGGGUGUAAAGGGUUCGUAGGCGGUGCGGCAAGUCGGGAGUGAAAUCUCUGGGCUUAACCCAGAGGCUGCUUCCGAAACUGCUGUGCUUGAGUGUGGGAGAGGCGCGUGGAAUUGCAGGUGUAGUGGUGAAAUGCGUAGAUAUCGGGAGGAACACCAGUGGCGAAGGCGACUACCUGGCCUGUUUCUUGACGCUGAGGCGCGAAAGCUAGGGGAGCAAACGGG